AUUGAACGCUGGCGGCAGGCCUAACACAUGCAAGUCGAACGAGUGGCGGACGGGUGAGUAAUGUCUGGGAAACUGCCUGAUGGAGGGGGAUAACUACGGGAAACGGUAGCUAAUACCGCAUACCAUCAGAUGUGCCCAGAUGGGAUGAGCGAGGUGGUGGGGUAACGGCUCACCAAGGCGAAGAUGCAUAGCUGGUCUGAGAGGAUGACCAGCCACCCUGGAACGGAGACACGGUCCAGAGGACUACAGGAGGCAGCAGUGGGGAAUAGGGCACAAUGGGCGCAAUCCUUAUGCAGUCAGGCGGCGCGUAUGAAGAAGGCCUUCGGGUGGUAAAGUACUGUCAGCGGGGAGGCGUUACCCGUAGAAGAAGCACCGGCUAACUCCGUGCCAGCAGCCGCGGUAAUAC
rnacentral:rRNA from 1 species